rnacentral:rRNA from 1 species
GACGAACGCUGGCGGCGUGCUUAACACAUGCAAGUCGAACGGAAAGGCCCUGCUUGCAGGGUACUCGAGUGGCGAACGGGUGAGUAACACGUGGGUGAUCUGCCCUGCACUUCGGGAUAGGCCUGGGAAACUGGGUCUAAUACCGGAUAGGAGCCAUUUUUAGUGUGAUGGUUGGAAAGUUUUUUCGGUGUAGGAUGAGCUCGCGGCCUAUCAGCUUGUUGGUGGGGUAAUGGCCUACCAAGGCGGCGACGGGUAGCCGGCCUGAGAGGGUGGACGGCCACAUUGGGACUGAGAUACGGCCCAGACUCCUACGGGAGGCAGCAGUGGGGAAUAUUGCACAAUGGGCGCAAGCCUGAUGCAGCGACGCCGCGUGGGGGAUGACGGCCUUCGGGUUGUAAACUCCUUUCGCUAGGGACGAAGCUUUUUGUGACGGUACCUAGAGAAGAAGCACCGGCUAACUACGUG